GCCCCGGUCGUAUAGUCAGGUCAAGUAUACCGGCCUUUCGAGCCGGUGACCCGGGUUCAAAUCCCGGCCGGGGCA
rnacentral:tRNA from 1 species